rnacentral:rRNA from 1 species
GUGGGGAAUCUUAGACAAUGGGCGCAAGCCUGAUCUAGCCAUGCCGCGUGAGCGAUGAAGGCCUUAGGGUUGUAAAGCUCUUUCAGGGGGGAAGAUAAUGACGGUACCCCCAGAAGAAGCCCCGGCUAACUCCGUGCCAGCAGCCGCGGUAAUACGGAGGGGGCUAGCGUUGUUCGGACUUACUGGGCGUAAAGCGCACGUAGGCGGACCAGAAAGUCAGGGGUGAAAUCCCGGGGCUCAACCCCGGAACUGCCUUUGAAACUCCUGGUCUUGAGGUCGAGAGAGGUGAGUGGAAUUCCGAGUGUAGAGGUGAAAUUCGUAGAUAUUCGGAGGAACACCAGUGGCGAAGGCGGCUCACUGGCUCGAUACUGACGCUGAGGUGCGAAAGCGUGGGGAGCAAACAGGAUUAGAAACCCUGGUAGUCC